rnacentral:rRNA from 1 species
CAGUAGCCGCGGUAAUACGUAGGGUGCAAGCGUUAAUCGGAAUUACUGGGCGUAAAGCGUGCGCAGGCGGUUAUAUAAGUCAGAUGUGAAAUCCCCGGGCUCAACCUGGGAACUGCAUUUGAGACUGUAUGGCUAGAGUGUGUCAGAGGGGGGUAGAAUUCCACGUGUAGCAGUGAAAUGCGUAGAUAUGUGGAGGAAUACCGAUGGCGAAGGCAAUCCCCUGGGCCUGCACUGACGCUCAUGCACGAAAGCGUGGGGAGCAAACAGGAUUAGAUACCCGUGUAGUCCCUGUCUCUUAUAC